rnacentral:snoRNA from 2 species
CGCCUCUCGGGGUUGCACCUGGAGAGUUUCCAGUCCUUUACCAGUCACGGCUACGGGAGGGAGAGUCAGACAGAGGCCUGUCCGUUCCAUUCCUAGCUCGGGCAGUGGCUAGCGAGUGGAACGCAAUCUGUUACAACU